rnacentral:rRNA from 1 species
GACGAACGCUGGCGGCGUGCUUAACACAUGCAAGUCGAACGGAAAGGCCCUGCUUUUGUGGGGUGCUCGAGUGGCGAACGGGUGAGUAACACGUGAGUAACCUGCCCUUGACUUUGGGAUAACUUCAGGAAACUGGGGCUAAUACCGGAUAGGAGCUCCUGCUGCAUGGUGGGGGUUGGAAAGUUUCGGCGGUUGGGGAUGGACUCGCGGCUUAUCAGCUUGUUGGUGGGGUAGUGGCUUACCAAGGCUUUGACGGGUAGCCGGCAUGAGAGGGUGACCGGCCACAUUGGGACUGAGAUACGGACCAGACGCCUACGGGAGGCAGCAGUGGGGAAUAUUGCACAAUGGGCGGAAGCCUGAUGCAGCAACGCCGCGUGCGGGAUGACGGUCUUCGGGUUGUAAACCGCUUUCGCCUGUGACGAAGCGUGAGUGACGGUAAUGGGUAAAGAAGCACCGGCUAACUACGCG